UACGUAGGGGGCAAGCGUUGUCCGGAUUUAUUGGGCGUAAAGAGCGUGUAGGCGGCCUGAAGGUCAGCUGUGAAAACUCGAGGCUCAACCUCGAGACGUCGGUUGAAACCAUCUGGUGCUAGAGUCCGGAAGAGGAGAGUGGAAUUCCCGGUGUAGCGGUGAAAUGCGCAGAUAUCGGGAAGAACACCCGUGGCGAAGGCGGCUCUCUGGGACGGUACUGACGCUGAGACGCGAAAGCGUGGGGAGCGAACAGG
rnacentral:rRNA from 1 species